CUUGUUGUUGAACUUCAAAACCUGUUCGUCUGGAACUUUACUACUAAAGGGAGUGGGUGGUGCUAAGCCUCGCCCCUAUCAUCGCUACCAAUUCGCUACUCCACCCCAUUGGUUAUGUUAAAUGGCUUGCAAAGAACCCACCAAGGAGAGAGAUAGAUAGAUAGAUAGAGAGAGGGAGGGAGGGAGAGAGAGAUGAUUGACUCUUUUUUUUUUUUUUGUGAUUCAGCCCCUAAUCUCCUCUUCACAAACUUUGAGUUAUUCGCAGUUUGGUUUGCGGUAUUCCUUCUCUUCCUGAAAACCAAUUGGGUAAAGUCAUGAUUGAAUUGACAUGUUUUCAGCUUUGACAAUUUCACAAAUAGGUUAGAGAAAGGGAGAGAUGAGUAAUGCAGCCAAUGUGUUCGACGAAAUGCAAUCGAUUGUUAUUGGGAAGGACAAGACAUGAAAAUCUGACUUUGAUAGAAAUGGACCUCUAAAAAUCUCAGACUUACACAUCACACCCUCAUCUUAAUUUCUCUCACAAACCAAGUUUCUGAAAUUACCAAAAGGACCACGCAUUUAAAUAUUAUACUUAUUUUCAUGUAAUUGAUUAUACAAUAUAUUAAAUUUAUCCACCCAAAGUGGCUAAGGGUUGGCAAAAUUAGUCCUUUCUUUAUUUGUCUAUGUUUAAACGUGAGACAUUUUGCCCAAUUUUGGUCCCUUAAAUUACAUUUUCGGUCCCUCUAUUUUUGUUUGUGUCUCGCUUUACCGCUCAUCUUCUCGCUUAAUAUGCAUACAACCGCUUCCUCUUCCAAUAACAAACCACCGCUACUACAUUCACCGCCAUAUGAUGCAGAAGAACCCACCACCGACAGUGGAUUACACGUGAUGGCCAGGUGUUAUCUCCUCAAACAAUCCACCGCCCAUACACACUUUUCUCAAUGUUACCCACCGCUUCCCAUUCUAUAAUCUCUUUGUAUUCUUCUCUACCGCUUCUUCUUUGCCUUAUUCCUCCGUCGCCUUACAGUUAACACUUUGAGUUCUCGAUCCUUCCAUCCUCUAAUCGAUGUCUCCACCGAUUGCUUCUUCUUCCGCCUUCUCUCUUCGAUCGCUGUGAAUGCCGGCAACCACAACCCUACGACCGUUCGUAUUAGACACAGAGGAAAAUCAAACGCGUCGGCAACACCAGUCUCAACCACCACAGCCAUAACUCAUCGAUAAGGUCACUAAUUAGUCACCUUCUUGCGUUUUUUUAUUUCUUUCAGCUGAGGUCGAAUCCUGUUUCCCAACCAGGAGAGCUCAACAGCUUCAGCGUCGACGAUCGUUGCAAUUAGUGGAGUCAGGGGCAGACGCAAGCUACCAGGUAUGGAGGAGUUGUUAUAUUAUUAUUUCCAUUUCCAGUAUUGGGGAUUCCCUACUCAUCACAUCUUCGUCUCAUUUUUCUACACCUCCACCUCCGCUUCCUCCUCUAUCGAUUCUUCGGUGAUAGCUUGGUCAUGACAUUCUAAGGUCGUAUACCGGGAAGUAUUUUUAUUUAUAUUAUUCUUCAUUUUAAUCAUGUGGGUUGGCCGUUCUAUUCCAUCAUUCAUACUCCUAGGGUAGAGGGUGUCCUGGCUCCAACAGUAUCCCAAUACACCACUGCCUAAUGGGUGGUUUCCGGCAGAUCUUGGCUCACUUUAGUAGGAGAUGACGAUAAGAAGGUGGGAGGAAGUGGUGCUCACCGCCUUUCAUUAGCUGCUUAAAAUAUAGUUGUGUCUCUAACUGUUUGUCCCUUUUUGUUUUGUUGUCUUCUUCUUUGGCUUUCUCUCAUGUUAUUUAUAUUGGUAUUUGUUGGAAACUCCAUUUUGGUUUGUCUACCCUACUUGAUUAAGUAGACUCUUAGUUUAGUUGAUUCUGACAUUUAUAAUUGGAUCUAUUCAUCCAUACUCAAACUCCUUUUAAACUCCCUGUUUUAUGUCUUUCAGGACCAACAGGUGGCAUCAGACUAGAAACGACGCCAUUCCGUUGUGAUUGACCAUAACAAUGGUCAACAAACAGAUUUUUAUGUCUGAAUUGGCCUUUGGGUUUUCAGCAGCACUAAGCCAGAAAACAGGAGAAGGGUAAUAUCAUCCAAACAAAAACCAUGGAUUCACCAGCAACCAGAAUCACCAACAGGGAUGCUCUAGCAAUGUGAAGGUGGCGUGGUGUUUUAUUUGGAUGGAGUACAUAGUCCUGAAAGCAUGGAAGUUGGUUCAAAUUGGUUUUACAUAGUAAUUGUUGGUGAUAACUCCAGGAAGGAUUCUGCACAGGUUAGAAAAAUAAAAGCACAGGAUUGUGAUAUGGAAAUGUUGGUACUUUUUUUCGAAUAAUUAGGAGUUGAUAGUUGUAUUCAAAUGGAAUUCGCCUUAAAAGUCGCAAGAAAGAUUAGAAUAAGAGAGAUGUUUGCAGCUUAUGUUGUCAUACCAAUGUACCAAUAUGGCUUGCAGUUGUUCCGUCAUCUACUGUUGUCCAACAAAUUAUCUAUUCGAAGAGCGAGAGUUGAGGUGGUUGGGCACUUACCUACAAAGCUUUUUAGUAGAACUCCGGAGGAUGCAAUCCCCACGUAGCUGAAACAGCUUCAGCAACAUAUCAUUCCUUCAGUUUUCUUAAUUUUCAUAAUCUAUUAUAAAAUGUAGACUUGAAUAAUGCAUUGCAUUUACAUAAUAUGUGGCCUUUUUCAUGUAGGGUUUAGAUGGGGUUCGUCUACAAAUGAAUUUAAAUUAAAUGCAAAAAUAUUAUAUAUUUAUGCACUUAAAUUUGUUCAGUUAAUAACAGCCAUGCAUUGAGAGCACA